AGUCGGCGCUAAUUGGACAACGCGGCCGCGCUAAUCCUAAACAUCCAAUUUAAAAAAAUAUAUAAGUCAGUGUCAAAGUGACUUGUCAAGUUGUCAUUCAGUUGUUUUACUACUUGUCGCAUGUUUGUACGAAGAGAAAAAAUGGAAGAUUGUUCGAUGGACAUGUAAUUAAUUUAAUGUUGAAGUGUAUUUGACUUUAGUGGAUGCAGUGUACGUUGUGCGUGUUAGAAGUGACGUGUAAAUAAACAUUCAUUCCGUGAUCCUUGGAUAAAGUGCUGUUUUCAUUGCUUGAAAUACACGUCAAAAAGUGAACUAAGUUUCUGGAUCAAAAUUGCAAAACUUUUAAAGCUCAUAAGUUACAUAAUGAUAGCGUAGUUACAGGUCCUUACUCGUAGAACUGGCCCAGAAAACUUAGAAUAGUAGUUUUAACUUUGUUUAUAAAUAUUUCAUGAACUUUAGACAACAAAGCUACAAUCACUAGUUUGGAUCAACUUAACAAUGUUUUACUAUUCAUUUAUUCAUUAGUUUAGGUAUAUUCAUAAACACAAGAGGCAAUUCCAAGUUAUUUAUUUACCAGAAUCACACAUUUAGAUUUAUGUACAAAAAGGCAUAUGGCAGUCAGCUGUGGUACUGCUGGUAUUUCUUCAGCCGGUGCUGUCCAGCGAAGCUCCGAAUCAACAAUGCAGGAAAAGUUACCGAGAGCAUAGGACGCCACAAUCACGAUCCACCAACCUGCUGGAUGACACCGGACGGUAAAUCGUACAGUCUUCCACCGUUACCCGAUAAGAAUUCACAGUAGUUUAUAAAAUUUUGUAACUAAUUAAAGUAUUUUCAAUGCCUUUUGUGUUUCACUGCCUUUUUUAUUUGUUGUGAAUAAACUGCCUACUUUUAUUUAUAUUGAGAUUGUAUUGACAACCCAUAUUUUUUCUUUUAAGUUUUAGUAUUCAUGUUAGAUGAUAGCUUGAGUUAUAAUGCAACUUAAAAUAUUUCAAUGUGCACUUUACUUGUAUUCCACACUUAAAUGUUCUCAAACUGUAUUACAAUUAAAUGUAAUUUAACAGCAAUAAUGUAAACGAUGAUGAAAACAAAAACAUCUGACUAUUCACUAAUAUUUUAUGCAUAUAUCUUUUACAUAAAAAUAUGUCUGGUGUUUUGGUAUUUAAGGUGAUUAUGCUAAAAUAUUAGUGAAUAGAUAAUUUUAAGGUAUUUAAGUAGAGAUUCUUAUUUUUUAGAUUUAUUUAAUUUGUAUUGUAGCCGAUGUCCAAGUGACUCAUUUGGAAUAAAGCUUUAAUUCCUUGUAACCCCUCAGGUACAACCAAAUAUUUAUACUGCAUUUGUGAGUUUCAACUUGAAAAGUAAGAGACUAUUUUCCUUUGUACA